AACGAAGAGAGAAAAGACUACGGAACUCAGUCGAGUGAGCACCUCCGACACGGCAACAACUGCAGCUCACUAUUUGUCACCAACUGCCUUCUUCAAUGUUAUACCGGUUCGCAAUCACGGUUAACUAUGGCGCCGUGCUGCUGUUUGGUGUUGUAUGGUUAAUGGUUGGGUCGACCACGGGUGAACCGAUGUCUCCUGGACAUGGUGGAUACCAAGCAACAGCAGCAAAAUAAUAGUGCACCACGUCGCCGCCUUACUACACAACAACGUCUAGAUACGCAACAUCUACUUGCUGUGCCGUGGCUCUCAAGUACUACAUCACCGAGUAUACGUAUACUGUCCCAGCCUACUACACCGAAGUCCCCAAGUACUACAAGACUACGAAUGCUGCCCCAGCCUACUACACCGAGGCUCCAUCCUAUUUUAAUACCAAAGCGGUCGAGUACUACACUGCACCGCACAAGUACUACUCUGCCAGUAACUACACAACCACAACUGAGGCGGCCAAGUACUACGUAGCCCAGACUUACAACACAGCAGCUGUUCCUUCCUACUACGUUGAAUUGUAAUACUACACCGAGGAUCCAGUCGACUACACCACAACCUACGCUACACCCAGAUACUACGACGAAGCCCCCCAACUACUACUACACCGAAAAGCUUACUUCACUAAGUAUAACUCUGCUCCAAGCUACUACCAAGCUGAGGCUCCUGUUUACUACACCGAGGCCACCAAGUAUUACACUACAACCAAAUGAAAAAUAUUCUGUUUCUACAUGGAGUUUUUUAACUAUGGCGUCGUGCUGCUGUUGGCUGUUGUAUCCUUGAUGGUUAAGUCGACCACCGGUGCACCGAUGUCUCGGGGGAAUGUGGAUACCAAACCGCGACGCCGCCGUCUUAUAACACAACAGCAAACGCAACAACCGGUUACUUCACCACCAAUUCCCCGGAGUAUAAUCCAUAACUGAUGAUGUCCCGAAUUACUACACCGAGGCCCCAAAGUAUAACUCUGCCCCGAGUUACACCACCAAGGCACCGGAUUACUACACCACCACGUAUGCUGCCCUAGCCUUUUACACCGAGGCCUAAGUACUAUUCCGUUCCCAGCUACUUCACCGAGGCUUCAGCUUAUUACGCCACCAAAGCGGUCAAAUACUACACCGAAGCGCCCUAGGACUACUCUGCACCGAAUUACUACACAGCGGCUGCUCCCUCGUACUACGUUGGACCGAAAUACUAGACUGAGGUUCCAGUUUACUACACUACAACCCACGCUGCCUUCAGCUACCAUACCGAGGUUCCGCUCCCAUACCGAUGCUCCUAAGUACUACACACUAAGGCACCCGAAUAUUGCACCACUACUUAGGCUGCUCCCACCUACUGCAUCGAAGCUGCGAAGUAUUCCACUCUUUUGAGUUACUACACCAUUAAGGCACCUGAAUGUUACAUCACAACCUUCGCUUCUCCAGUUUAUUACAGGGAGGCUCUUAAAUACCAUAGCCAAAAUUUCUGAUGUAUUUAAUUGUGUUCAAAUUUGUCGGUCACAUCUUAAUAGUUACUAAUCACUUGGAAUCGUUGAGCUCAAAUGAGAAAAUAAAAUUUUUUUAUGGUAA